GAUGAACGCUGGCGGCGUGCUUAACACAUGCAAGUCGAACGAAGCACUUUAUUUGAUUUCCUUCGGGACUGAUUAUUUUGUGACUGAGUGGCGGACGGGUGAGUAACGCGUGGGUAACCUGCCUUGUACAGGGGGAUAACAGUUGGAAACGGCUGCUAAUACCGCAUAAGCGCACGGCAUCGCAUGAUGCAGUGUGAAAAACUCCGGUGGUAUAAGAUGGACCCGCGUUGGAUUAGCUAGUGGGUGAGGUAACGGCCCACCAAGGCGACGAUCCAUAGCCGACCUGGGAGGGUGACCGGCCACAUUGGGACUGAGACACGGCCCAAACUCCUACGGGAGGCAGCAGUGGGGAAUAUUGCACAAUGGGCGAAAGCCUGAUGCAGCGACGCCGCGUGAGCGAAGAAGUAUUUCGGUAUGUAAAGCUCUAUCAGCAGGGAAGAUAAUGACGGUACCUGACUAGGAAGCACCGGCUAAAUACGUG
rnacentral:rRNA from 1 species